rfam:Streptomyces kanasensis strain ZX01 contig00004, whole genome shotgun sequence.
GGGACGGGCCGUGACUGGCGCUUGGGUGGAGUACCACCGGGGAGCGGCCCGGCGGACACCGCCACCUGCCGCGCGCCUGGGCGAUCAGC